AUAUUGUGUCUCGCUUCUUUCAGAUGGACAAUUUCAAGUCAGUGGUAGCUCAGGGACUGCCUCACUUUGCUCUAUUAUGCAGUGUAUAUGGGCUAUUUGACUAGCUCAGAUGAAUUAAAAGCUUUUCUAUUCAUUGAUUUUGGUUUGCUUUUUUUUCAACCUUACUGAAAGUACUUUUAUUUACUUCACUAAGUAAAACCAACCACAUCACUUCUCUAAAUCUCAAAUAUUUGUGGCUAGCUUGUAGAAAUUUAUGUCAAUGCAUGUAUUAUUUUCUUAUCUAUUAUUUUUAUACUAAGGAAAUUAAAUACGUUUGCCAAUGUAAGUUUUGUUGUGCAAUGUCACCCUCCAAAUUCUUUGAAGGUACAUAUUUUCUGCCAAAUAAUGUGACAGAUUUUUCAAUGUAUAUGAAUCAAUACAUUUUCCUAGAAUGAUGAAGAACUUAUGAUUCAAGAUUUGUAUGUAUAUAUCAAGUAUUAUUGAAGUGAGUCCAUAACAUUUGGCAAAUAGUAGAUGAGUAGUAAGUACCAGCUAAUGAUGCACUUGGCUAAUUUUUUUUCUCAUUGGCUACAUGUAAGUAGUUGACUAUAUUUAAUAGACCCUAUUAAUUACUGUAACUCUGAAAUUAAGAAAGAACAAUCAAAAUAAAGCACCAGAGACUUGUUAUACAAGAGGGAAUUAUUCAAUUGCAAGCGUUACAUGAAGGGGCAAUUAAACAACCUCAUAACACUGAGUCUGUUCCAGUUGAUAAUUCAGUGCAUCUAACAGAGAUGCUAGCUUCUGUGUUCUUUCAGUGUACUACCUACCGUGUCCAAGGGUAUGACCUAAAUUCCCUUUCAGUUACUGGCAGAACUCUCAAGGACUGCAAUGUGCUUUGGAUCAUGCGUCCCAAAUCACCCAAAUGACUGACUUUUCAACCUAAAAUAAUGGAAGUCUACCAAACUGAUUUGUCACCUUUGCUUGAUGUUCACACAUACUAAUGAGUUCUGAAAAUGUUAAUUUGCUUUGUGCCCAGAUCAAAUACACUGCUCUGUCAGAAUAAAAUAAGUUCAGAG
ensembl:lncRNA